rnacentral:rRNA from 1 species
CCUACGGGAGGCAGCAGUGGGGAAUAUUGCACACUGGGGGAAACCCUGAUGCAGCGACGCCGCGUGAGUGAAGGAGUAAUUCGUUAUGUAAAGCUCUAUCAGCAGGGGAGAAAAUGACGUUACCUGAGUAAGAAGCCCCGGCUAACUACGUGCCAGCAGCCGCGGUAAGACGUAGGGGGCAGGCGUUAUCCGGAUUUACUGGGUGUAAAGGGAGCGUAGACGGCAGUGCGAGUCUGGAGUGAAAGGCGGGGGCUCAACCCCCGGACUGCUCUGGAAACUGGACGGCUGGAGUGCAGGAGAGGUAAGUGGAAUUCCUAGUGGAGCGGUGAAAUGCGUAGAUAUUAGGAGGAACACCAGUGGCGAAGGCAGCUUACUGGACCGUAACUGACGUUGAGGAGCGAAAGCGUGGGGAGCAAACAGGAUUAGAUACCCCUGUAGUC